GUGCAGCAGCCGCGGUAAUACCGGCAGCCCGAGUGAUGGCCGAUAUUAUUGGGCCUAAAGCGUCCGUAGCUGGCCGGACAAGUCCGUUGGGAAAUCUGUCCGCUUAACGGGCAGGCGUCCAGCGGAAACUGUUCGGCUUGGGACCGGAAGACCUGAGGGGUACGUCCGGGGUAGGAGUGAAAUCCUGUAAUCCUGGACGGACCACCGGUGGCGAAAGCGCCUCAGGAGAACGGAUCCGACAGUGAGGGACGAAAGCUAGGGUCUCGAACCGGAUUAGAUACCCGAGUAGUCC
rnacentral:rRNA from 1 species